AACGAACGCUGGCGGCAUGCCUAACACAUGCAAGUCGAACGAAGCCUUCGGGCUUAGUGGCGCACGGGUGCGUAACGCGUGGGAAUCUGCCCUUGGGUUCGGAAUAACAGUUAGAAAUGACUGCUAAUACCCGAUGAUGUCUUCGGACCAAAGAUUUAUCGCCCAAGGAUGAGCCCGCGUAGGAUUAGGUAGUUGGUGGGGUAAUGGCCCACCAAGCCGACGAUCCUUAGCUGGUCUGAGAGGCUGAUCAGCCACACUGGGACUGAGACACGGCCCAGACGCCUACGGGAGGCAGCAGUGGGGGAUAUUGGACAAUGGGCGAAAGCCUGAUCCAGCAAUGCCGCGUGAGUGAUGAAGGCCUUAGGGUUGUAAAGCUCUUUUACCAGGGAUGAUAAUGACAGUACCUGGAGAAUAAGCUCCGGCUAACUCCGUGCCAGCAGCCGCCGUAA
rnacentral:rRNA from 1 species